UACGUAGGCAGCGAGCGUUGUUCGGAGUUACUGGGCGUAAAGCGUGCGUAGGCGGUGGUCCAAGUCUGGUGUGAAAUCUCCCGGCUUAACUGGGAGGGUGCGCCGGAAACUGGGCUGCUGGAGUGCGGGAGAGGUAAGCGGAAUUCCCGGUGUAGCGGUGAAAUGCGUAGAUAUCGGGAGGACCACCUGCGGUGAAGCCGGCUUACUGGACCGCCACUGACGCUGAGGCACGAAAGCGUGGGUAGCAAACAGG
rnacentral:rRNA from 1 species